UACAGAGGUCUCGAGCGUUAGGCGGAAUCACUGGGCUUAAAGCGUGUGUAGGCGGUGUUCCCAGUCUGUUGUGAAAUCUCCCGGCUUAACUGGGAGGGUGCAGCGGAAACUAGAAUGCUAGAGGGUGGGAGAGGUAAGCGGAAUUCCUGGUGUAGCGGUGAAAUGCGUAGAUAUCAGGAGGAACACCUGUGGUGUAGACAGCUUACUGGACCACUUCUGACGCUGAGACACGAAAGCGUGGGUAGCAAACAGG
rnacentral:rRNA from 1 species